GACAAGCUCGUUGAACUGAUGAAUCACAGGCUCACUAUGUUAGGAGGGAUUCAGCACUACAACUGUAUAGUUGGUGGAGUACCACACUGCCUGACUCAGAUUGAUACACUCUCUAAGAAAGAUGAUGUCUUCAUUAUGUUGAUGUAUGCCAGGCAAUCUCUUAGAUUUAACUUGCAGUAUAUGGCUGCAGUGAAUGUACGUAGUCCUGAAUGGUGAG
rnacentral:lncRNA from 1 species